ensembl:snoRNA
AUCCUUUUGCAGCUUGUAAGCGUGAUGAUUGGGUGUUUGCGAGAGCGUGUGUGAUGUCCCACCCUCACAUCUUGUUACAACAUCAGCACAUUAGCCGUGCGACA